rnacentral:rRNA from 1 species
AUGAAUUGUGUAAGCUGGAACUGUCGGGAGCUUGGGAACUCCGAGGCAGUUCGUGAGCUUCGCAAUGUUGUGAAGCAGGAAGGUCCUGCUCUCCUCUUUGUUACUAAAACAAAGAUUGAAGGGAAACUUGUUGAGAGUUUGAAGCAAACCCUUGGUUUUGCAGGAAGUUUUGCGGUGGAAAGUGACGGCCUAAGCAGAGGAAUAGGUUUGUUCUGGUCCAAAGAUUUUAUAGCGGAACUAAAAAACUUCAGUAUUGGCCACAUUGACAUUGUGAUGCGAAAAGAUUAUCCGAAUUCGGUGGAGUGGAGGUUCACUGGAUUUUAUGGAGCACCAAGAGCACAAGAUAGACAUCAUAGCUGGCGUUUUCUCCGAACUUUACAUGCCAUACCACACUCGCCUUGGCUUUGUAUGGGUGACUUCAACGAAACCUUCUGUGCAGAAGAACACUUCAGUCGGGCGGUACGGCCGGAGUGGCAGAUGAGGGCUUUCAGAGAAGUCAUGGACGAUUGGGCUCUCCAGGACUUGGGUUGGUCUGGUAUUCCUUACACUUGGGGACAAUCGCCAACCGGGAGAUGCAAAUGUAAAAGCUCGUUUAGAUCGGGCGUUUGGCAAUGA